GUUGUGGGCUUUGCCUGCUAUCUCUUACCCAUGUCUUUUGAGUACUUACGUUUCCUCGGUGGGUUCGCCCGCCGAUUGGACAAUUUAAACCCUUUGCAGUUGCAAUCAGCGUCUGAAAAACAUAAUAGUUACAACUUUCAACAACGGAUCUCUUGGUUCUGGCAUCGAUGAAGAACGCAGCGAAAUGCGAUAAGUAGUGUGAAUUGCAGAAUUCAGUGAAUCAUCGAAUCUUUGAACGCACAUUGCGCCCCUUGGUAUUCCAUGGGGCAUGCCUGUUCGAGCGUCAUUUGUACCUUCAAGCUUUGCUUGGUGUUGGGUGUUUGUCUCGCCUUUGCGUGUAGACUCGCCUUAAAACAAUUGGCAGCCGGCGUAUUGAUUUCGGAGCGCACUACAUCUCACGCUUUGCACUCAUAACGACGACGUCCAAAAGUACUUUUUUACACUCUUGACCUCGGAUCAGGUACAGAUACCCGCUGAACUUAAGC
rnacentral:rRNA from 1 species